AUAAAGAAAGUUCGGCCACGUAGGACCGCUCAGUCAGCAGACUCGACGAACCAGAGCACUCCGCGUGGCAAAACGCACUAAUGUCGGUGCCAUGUAAGAGGCCACGAAGGCGAUCCACGUGACUCGCGAUCGAACGAUUCAGGAUUGAUCCCGUGCACGUGGACGGCCUAGAUCCGUUUCCUCCUUAGACGUGAUCGGACGGUUGAGAUUAAUUGCGAUGAACGGUCUAGAUUCAUUUCUUCAUUAGGCGCCAUCGAACGGAUGAGACUGAUCGCAAUGGACAGUCCAAAUCAACGCGAGAUGGUUAUAAAUACUUUGCAUCACACGGGAACCUAAACCCUAGCAGCCAACCCCUGCCGGAGAAAAAGAACUAGACGCUGGAGAAGGAGACCGAUGAUCGAUCGUCGCCGCACCAAAGCUACUACCGAUUGCAAAAAAAAAGUUAAAAUUCUACCUACCCGCUCGAAAUUCAAUUCCAAGUAUCCCUGUGACCAAAUCAGAUUAAGAGGAAAGACAAGUGAGCCGAAAACUACGGGUAAAGCUCAAUGGAGUCGCCGCGGCUAAAAUUUCAAAACUCCUCCGAUGAUUCCCUUCCCAAUUCUUAUUUUACAUGAUUUUUCGAUCAUUGUGUUCACCAUCCUUUUCUAUGAAGGAUAGCCAAAGAAAGAACCUUAGUCUCGAAGGAGGACUAGCAGAGCUGCCACACCCGGAGGUACCCCUACCGGUAAGUUCGAUUUUUUUUGUGAUUUCCCGACCAAUCGAGACCCCUAAUGUGUUUUACUACAGGAAAAAUGGCUAAAAUUGGAGAAAAUUGGUGAAAACCAGCCAGACUGAGGUGAACCGCCACCGUGGGUGGCUAAGCUGGCGCCGGAGCAUGGCGGUGCUACCGUGUCGGAAUUCCAAAAUUGACCGAAAUUAGUUUUGGACAUUAAUUUUAAAUUUUUGGGGUAUUUUUAUAUAUGUGACGAAUGUUUUAAAUUCUACAAAAAAAUUCAGGAAACCCGGUACCCGUUAAGAGGCAUAGUAGACAGCUCGAUAUCUUGAAAUACCGAUCUUGGUAAGGAUCUUUCACCUUAUUCUCCAC
rnacentral:lncRNA from 1 species